rfam:Asian citrus Psyllid, Diaphorina citri - Florida Strain, whole genome shotgun sequence.
GUUCUAGUUAGCUUAGUUGGUAGUGCGUCUGCCUUGUAAGCGCUAGGCCGCGGGUUCGAUUCCCGCCCGGGGCG